AUUGAACGCUGGCGGCAGGCUUAACACAUGCAAGUCGAGCGAGCGGCGGACGGGUGAGUAAUGUCUGGAAAACUGCCUGAUGGAGGGGGAUAAGUACUGGAAACGGUAGCUACUACCGCAUACCAUCAGAUGUGCCCAGAUGGGAUUAGCUAGUAGGUGGGGUAAUGGCUAACCUAGGCGACGAUCCCUAGCUGGUCUGAGAGGAUGACCGGCCACACGGGAGCUGAGACACGGUCCAGACUCCUACGGGAGGCAGAAGUAGGGAAGAUUGCACAAUGGGCUCAAGCCUGAUACAGCCAGGCCGCGUGUGUGAAGAAGGCCUUCGGGUUGUAAAGCACUGUCAGCGAAGAGGCGUUACUCGCAGAGGAAGCACCGGCUAACUCCGUGCCAGCAGCCGCGGGAAUAC
rnacentral:rRNA from 1 species